rfam:Gossypium raimondii Chr03_contig_27, whole genome shotgun sequence.
AACCCAUGAGGAGAGAACCUUCACAAAAUAUCCUUAAAUCUCUCGCAUGCAUCAUAUAAUGUCUCCAAAUCAAUUUAAGCAAAAGAAGAGAUGUCGUUCCUCAACUU